rnacentral:rRNA from 1 species
AUUGCGAUGGGGGGACGGAGAAGGCUAGGUGGGCCAGGCGACGGUUGUCCUGGUUCAAGUGCGUAGGCUUGAGAGUUAGGUAAAUCCGGCUCUCUCUAAGGCUGAGACACGACGUCGAGCUGCUACGGCAGUGAAGUCAUUGAUGCCAUGCUUCCAGGAAAAGCCUCUAAGCUUCAGAUAGUCAGGAAUCGUACCCCAAACCGACACAGGUGGUCGGGUAGAGAAUACCAAGGCGCUUGAGAGAACUCGGGUGAAGGAACUAGGCAAAAUGGUACCGUAACUUCGGGAGAAGGUACGCUCUUGAUGGUGAAGUCCCUCGCGGAUGGAGCUGACGAGAGUCGCAGAUACCAGGUGGCUGCAACUGUUUAUUAAAAACACAGCACUGUGCAAAAUCGCAAGAUGACGUAUACGGUGUGACGCCUGCCCGGUGCCGGAAGGUUAAUUGAUGGGGUUAGCGCAAGCGAAGCUCUUGAUCGAAGCCCCGGUAAACGGCGGCCGUAACUAUAACGGUCCUAAGGUAGCGAAAUUCCUUGUCGGGUAAGUUCCGACCUGCACGAAUGGCGUAAUGAUGGCCACGCUGUCUCCACCCGAGACUCAGUGAAAUUGAAAUCGCUGUGAAGAUGCAGUGUACCCGCGGCUAGACGGAAAGACCCCGUGAACCUUUACUACAGCUUGGCACUGAACAUUGAACCUACAUGUGUAGGAUAGGUGGGAGGCUAUGAAGACGUGACGCCAGUUGCGUUGGAGCCGUCCUUGAAAUACCACCCUUGUAUGUUUGAUGUUCUAACUUAGACCCAUUAUCUGGGUUGAGGACAGUGCCUGGUGGGUAGUUUGACUGGGGCGGUCUCCUCCCAAAGAGUAACGGAGGAGCACGAAGGUGGGCUAAUCACGGUUGGACAUCGUGAGGUUAGUGCAAUGGCAUAAGCCCGCUUAACUGCGAGAAUGACGGUUCGAGCAGGUGCGAAAGCAGGUCAUAGUGAUCCGGUGGUUCUGUAUGGAAGGGCCAUCGCUCAACGGAUAAAAGGUACUCCGGGGAUAACAGGCUGAUACCGCCCAAGAGUUCAUAUCGACGGCGGUGUUUGGCACCUCGAUGUCGGCUCAUCACAUCCUGGGGCUGAAGUCGGUCCCAAGGGUAUGGCUGUUCGCCAUUUAAAGUGGUACGCGAGCUGGGUUUAGAACGUCGUGAGACAGUUCGGUCCCUAUCUGCCGUGGGCGUUGGAAGAUUGAAGGGGGCUGCUCCUAGUACGAGAGGACCGGAGUGGACGAACCUCUGGUGUUCGGGUUGUGUCGCCAGACGCAUUGCCCGGUAGCUAAGUUCGGAAUUGAUAAGCGCUGAAAGCAUCUAAGCGCGAAGCGAGCCCUGAGAUGAGUCUUCCCUGAUACUUUAAGUAUCCUAAAGGGUUGUUCGAGACUAGAACGUUGAUAGGCAGGGUGUGUAAGCGUUGUGAGGCGUUGAGCUAACCUGUACUAAUUGCCCGUGAGGCUUAACCAUACAACACCCAAGGGGUUUUGUA